GGGGCUAUUUGGUUUUGACAGCAGGUAGAAUGGUUAUGUAAGCACGCCGAGCAAUGAAGCACGCUCGUUAAUCUCGCUUCAAAAAAUUAACUGGCAACUAUGAGUAUGCUCUCGCUGCCUAAUCGAAGUAUAGUAGAUUAGCCUUUUUCGGAUGCAAGGCGUCUGAACGAGACAUCGCUCCAAGCCGAGUCUGUGGGCUCAAUGGAUAUAGCGGUGCGGAAAUUCACAGAAUAGAUGUCGCAGGCUGCGAUGCGAGGUCGAAAACAAAGCAGAUAAGUCGGUAGUUGGUGGCUUGGGUCUUGCUGCCGAACGAAAAUCAAGGCCAAGAUAAGCGUGUAGAAAGCGUAAGUAUUCCUUGUUUGGACACGGGUUCGAAUCCCGUUAGCUCCACA
rnacentral:tmRNA from 1 species